rnacentral:rRNA from 1 species
AUUGAACGCUGGCGGCAGGCCUAACACAUGCAAGUCGAACGAGUGGCGGACGGGUGAGUAAUGUCUGGGAAACUGCCUGAUGGAGGGGGAUAACUACUGGAAACGGUAGCUAAUACCGCAUACCAUCGGAUGUGCCCAGAUGGGAUUAGCUAGUAGGUGGGGGAAAGGCUCACCUAGGCGACGAUCGCUAGCUGGUCUGAGAGGAUGACCGGCCACACUGGACUUGGAACACGGUCAAGACUCCUAGGGGAGGAGGCAGGGGGGAAUAUGGGACAAUGGGGGAAAGCCUGAUGAGGAAAUGCCGGGUGUAGGAGAAAGGCCUUCGGUUUUUAAGGUACGUUCAGCGGGGCGGCGUUACCCGCAUAGAAAGCACCGGCUAACUCCGUGCCAGCCGCCGCGGUAAUUC